GAUCAUGGCUCAGGAUGAACGCUGGCGGCGUGCUUAACACAUGCAAGUCGAACGAAGCACUUUGAUCGAUUCUUCGGAUUGAAAUUUUAGUGACUGAGUGGCGGACGGGUGAGUAACGCGUGGGUAACCUGCCUCACACAGGGGGAUAACAGUUGGAAACGGCUGCUAAUACCGCAUAAGCGCACAGUACCGCAUGGUACAGUGUGAAAAACUCCGGUGGUAUAAGAUGGACCCGCGUCUGAUUAGCUGGUUGGUGAGGUUAAACGGGCCCACCAAGGCAACGAUCAGUAGCCGACUUGAGAGAGUGAUCGGCCACAUUGGGACUGAGACACGGCCCAAACUCCUACGGGAGGCAGCAGUGGGGAAUAUUGCACAAUGGGGGAAACCCUGAUGCAGCGACGCCGCGUGAAGGAAGAAGUAUUUCGGUAUGUAAACUUCUAUCAGCAAGGAAGAAAAUGACGGUACUUGACUAAGAAGCCCCGGCUAAAUACGUG
rnacentral:rRNA from 1 species